GGGAGGUGAUGAGUGGUCAUUACUCGCAUUUAAGUAUGCGAGAUGGGGUGUCUGCCUAAAGCUUUACGACAAUUAGGCACCUCAAAUCUUAUAACCAUGUGAUCCC